UUACGGCCACAUCACGUAGAAACACCGGUUUCCGUACGAUCACUGAAGUUAAGCAACGUCGAACCUAGUUUGUACCUAGAUGGGUGACAGCUUGGAAAUACUAAGUGCUGUA